GUUGGCAGCCAUAUCACCCUGCAGCUCACAACUGGCAACCUGCUGAAGCUAAGCAAGUGUGAGCCUGGUCAGUACCUGGAUGGGAGACCUCCUGAGAAAAACUAAGGUUGCUGCAGGAA
rnacentral:rRNA from 1 species